CAAUGUCAACACCGGCCUGUCAAAAUGAGAAGGUAUCGUUACGGUGAUCCAAAAUCAGCUAAAGCUAGGAAUCGUGUUAUUAGUCAAAUACUUAAAUUUUUUGUCGGAUGGAAUCUAUUGGGAUAUUGUGUUUGGAAAUACAUGAAAAGUACUGUUUCUGAAAAACAUCCAGAGUUUGGAGACAAAUCAAACUCUGAACAAGUAAGGUUUAUUAUGACAGGAGAGCAGACAAACGUUAAAAAAUAUCGUGUGAAAAUAGGGGGAGAUAACUGGUUUAGUGUUAAAAAAGUAGAAGAUGAGUCGGCACCUGAAAACAGUAACACAAGUCCAGAAGCUACAAAGUCGGAAAACUUGAACCCUUCAGAUAGCUGAUAAAAAAUGGAUAAAAAAAGUGUUUGGAGCCAUUGUGUACUACAUUAUCAAAAGAUACUGAGGUGGAGAUAUCUGUGGAUACCAAGUCUAUAAGACAAUAUAGGCUGAACUGACUGAAGACAGUCCAAAGUUUUGAACAGUUGCUUAAAGCUACAUAUUCUAAACAGUUGCUUAAAGCAAACAGAAUUUAAAGAUGUCUUUAUUUAAAAGAGGGUACACAUGAAGACAGGGCAAUACAUAAAGGUGAUUUAUGCAAAGAAAGUAAUGUUACAUAUGUGAUAGUACUAGUAGAUAGUUUAUUACUGCAAAGCAGCAUUCUGCUGGUUGAUUAGUGUAAGGCCUCGGAAAGUUCUAUGAACUGUGAUUUUAGUGUUUUUGUGAGCAGUUCGGACUAUACAAAAGUAGUCGGCAGAUUAAAUUGAUGUACGGGAGGUCGCAAAAUCUUAAUUAUGUCAGUAGGCUAUGUGUGAGGAUAGAUACUUCUUAAAGACUUGAACCUCAAAAAACAAUAUGUGGUAAACAAUGCUGGCAUGGUGCUCAAGACUAAAAAUUCAUACAAUUAUGUAUGUUCUGGUUUGAAUUAUGUUAAUUUAAUAUUUUGAUAAGACAGUUGAAGCUGUGCUUAAGAAAACAAGUGAUUGCAGAGGUCAUGUCAGACAUCCAUUUAAAAGGAUACAUCAGUGUUCUUAGAGGUAUAAAACUGACUUCCAUGGUCAAACAGUGACCCCAGCGAGCCAAGUGUAAUGGAUCAGCAAAGUUCAAGUCUUUAAAAUGGCAGGGUCUUCUUGGCCAAGUGGUUAAGGUUGCUGACUUAAAUCACUUGCCCCUCACUUCUGUGGGUUUGAAUCCCAUCUCAGACUUCAGAUCAUUCUUUCCAAGUGAGGAAGCUAUGAGUAUCAAGGGUUUAAGGAAGGUUGAAGGUUCAACUCUGGUGCCAGAUUGUGCCUGAAAUAAUGCACAAAGUAGCACCUGAAUCUGAGGUCUGCCUCCACCAGUUAUGUAUGACCUAGGCAGUGUUAUAAAGGAUUUACUUAUAGCUGUUUUACAAUGCAAAGUAUAAAUUUCAGAUAAGUUUACUUUAACCUUUUACCCCAUGAGCAAUAAGAUUACUUUAACCCUUUACCCCAUGAGCAUAUUGCGAAAAAUGGCCGUUUUCAUUGAAAAGCCUCCUGUAACAAGUUCAAACUGCUAUGAAACUAUGAAAAAUGCUUCAAUACUGGUGAAACUUGGCCCAAAUGUUGACUACACCAUAGCCUGCCUCUGUAACAGCAUGCUCAAUCGUAAAUUUCCUGUUACCAUGGCAAUGGGGGGAUGUCUCAAAAUUGCCAAAAAUCACUAUUUUGCAUUGUUUUUUUCCAUCAAAACUGAUUUCAAAGUGCUUCAAUUAACUUCUCAAUGAAUUGAGAUAGAGUAAAAGGCUUUUCAGCGUCGGUUACUAGUUACCCUAAGAUCGACCUGAGGCCAUUUUUAGCCUGUCACAUGUCCAAAAUUUUCUUGGCGAUGAGGGGGACUCCGCCCCACUUCAAACCCCCCAAACAGAAGGGGGCUCAUCCCCCUUCUGGCAACCCCCUGAUGUAACAUUUGGAUGGGGGACGGCGCCGAAAAAGUGGUCACUUUUUUAACAACAUUUCUCAAACGAAAACCAGUGUUUGGGGCCUAAAUAGGGCAUUUCUUUACUGUUUGAGGCCUAAAAAGGGGGGGGGGGCAAAAAGCCGUCAAAACACGCUUAUUUGAGGGAAAAGGUUAAUUAUUAAUGUAUGUUUUUUUAAAUAUGACUGAUUAUUCCAUUAUACCAUUUUGAAUAUUUGACAAAAAACUUUUAAAUUUUGCUUCAUGUAGGGUGCCAUGGUGCCCUUGGGUACUAGUUACUUAUAGAGCAUAAAUAAAUGAAAUAGGCUUUCAUUAGGCCUUUUUUAACUAUGGUAGUCUUUAUGUAGACUUUUUCCAUCUAGAGUAUUUCGUCAUACCUUUUUCAUUUGAUUAUUUGUUAAUGACAUAUUUAUUUUGAAUGUUUCAUGAUUUUUAUGAAUUUGUUUUGUUUUAUUGUGAAAAAUAUUGUUGCUUGUUUUGAUUACAUCAUGAUCAUGAAGUGAAUUAGUUUGUUUUUUAAGCUAUGAAAUUUAUAUUGAAAUUUCUCUCAGAAUAAAAUAAAUCUGGUGUAUGAUCAGAUAAUUUUUGCUUCAGUUAUUGUUGUAUAUUGUGCAGGUGGUUAUCUCCCUUAUGCUAAUAUGUUGUACAUGCCAAAAAUAAUUUCAUGUUCAAACAAGACCUGUUGCAAGGGAUGGCACAUUUGACUUUUUAUGCUCCCAAAAGGGAGAGCAUAUAGUCGCCGC